UAUAGAAAUAUGUGAAAGAAAUGGCUAAGGACUUCCUCAACCAGAUUUGAAAGCUACAGAAAAUUAAAACUGUGAACAAAAGGCCAACUGAAACAGUCCUAGGAGGAAACCCCGUAUCUGCCGCACGGCUAUAGCCUGUGGACAGCGAGAUCUAGGGACAGAGUCUCAGCCUGGCCACUGCUGCCCAGAGACUGCUGAGUCUGAGCCCCUGUCCAUCUGUCGCACCCACCCUGGACACGGCACAUCCGGUCAUGGAUACAAAUGACCUGCUGCAGAAGGCCAUUCUGGCCGAGCAGGCUGAGCGAUAUGAUGACCUGACAGCCGGCAUGAAGUCUGUAGCCAAGGAGGAGAGGAAUCUUCUCUCAGUUGAGAGAGGGCAGAGGGGGCUCGAUCUCACAACCACGGGAUCAUGACCUGAGCCAAAACCAAGAGUUGGAUACUCAACCGACUGGGCCACCCAGGUGCCCCAACUUUUUACUUUUUUUUAAUGUGGCACUAGAAAAUUUUUAAUCAUGUGGCUUGAAUUCUGUUUCUCUUCCCUCUUCCUUUUUGAGGAUAGGCUGCGGGUGGAAGUGUAACCUGAGUUUGGCCAACCAGAGUCUCCCCUGUGCCCAAGCAAGCACGGCCAGGACAGAGGAAGGUCAGAGGAAGGGAAGCCACAGCUGGGGUGCUCCUCCAGAUGUCUCAGUCUCCCAGGUCCACACCCACCGAAUAGGUUCCCUUUUUGCUUGCAUUAGCCAGUCUCUUCCUGGUGUUUACAGUCAAACACCCUAACGGGCUUGAUCAGGAAGCGGUCCCUGGUGUAUCUUGUUACCACCAAAGUCACUCAAUCGCUAGGGCAGUUGAGUCUUUAUCAAGCUCUGCAGGGGAUUCUGAUGCUUAGCUAGAGUUGAGAAGCUUAGCUUUAGGUCUUUUAAAAAGCAUCUGUAUGGCCAGGGAGCAACCAUGAGCCUAUGUUAUCACAGUUCUGAUUUAGAGGUUAAAGGAACUGCCUGGGAUCCCUGCCCUCCUGCAGCUGGAAGAAUUCCAUGCAUUUAACAAGUAUUCAUUGAGGACCUGCUAUGCAUGCUCCAAGCAUUGUCCUACACAAUAAGGAUAGAGCAGUGAGCAAAACAAACAAAAACCUCUCUCUGCUAAAGCAUACUAUUUAGUGGGGGAAGCAGGGACAAUAAGCCAAAUUACAAAAAAAAAAAAGAAAGAAACAUUAUGUGGUGAAAGUUCUAAGAAGAAAACCCAACCAACCAGGGAAGGGGAUAAGGAGUGUGUGUGUGUGUGUGUGUGUGUGUGUGUGUGUGUGUGUGUGUGUGUUGGAAGGGCUUAGAAAUUUAGAUGGGAUGGGGUGCCAAGGUGGCUCAGUCCGUUGCAUCCGACUCUUGACUUGGGCUCAGGUCAUGCUCUCACAGUUCUUGAGUUUGAGCCCUGUAUCAGACUCUGUGGUGGCAGCAUGGAGCCUGCUUGGGAUUCUGUCUCCCUCUCUCUCUCUCUGCCCCUCCCCUGCUUGCUCUCUCCCUAUGUCAAAAUAAAAAAAAAUGAACUUAAAAAAAAAAUAAAGAAAUUUAGAUGGGAUGAUCACAGAAGGAAAACGAAGAAUGUCAUGUUUUCAGGAAAAGAGCAAGCCUUGACAAUGUGGGCUGGUGGAGCGCUUUCUAGGUAAAUAGAGAACAAGUGCAAAGACCUUGAGGUAGAACCUUGGGCUUGAAGAUGACCUCGAGUUCCUGAAUUGGGCUACUCCCAGCUUGUGAGGCUGAGGCUGCUCAAGAUUUCUGGGUGCUGGAAGCUGCCACUGAGGAGAAGGGGUGGGCAGGACUAGGUGGUCCCAAAGGAUGAAAGGAGGGGAAUGGUGGGGUCAGAGUUCUGUGCAUGGAGUUGGAGAGACUGUGGCCUUAAUGACUUUUUCUACCUUGUGUAACUUGGUGUGUCAUUUCAGAAUUUGCAUUCACUCUUGUCAACUUAAGGAAUCUAGAGAGAAUUUGGAGAAGUAAGCAAGCUUCUAUAGCAGAUACCGCCUGUGGCCAGAGGGCUGCCCUACUACAUAUACCCAGAGUCCUCCUUGCUGAAGAGGGAUUCUCAGGGUCUCACUGGAGGCACUAUGCAGGAGCUAGGGUGGCUUUGAUCCCUAACCAGGAGCACCUUAUUUCCAAUGUACCAUCUAACUCUGGGCAGCACGUGGAGAUGGGCAGUUGAGGUCCACACCUGUCUGUCUGUCCAAGUGGACUGGGCAUAUGUACCAAGGGACAGAUAGACUGCUAAUAGUUGGGUUUUGAUUUUUUUCUUAAUGCAUGCAAAUAAUCAAAAAUAAAACUAGAGUAGCCUAAUUUCCCAGGAGUAGAUGGAGAACUUUCCCUCCUACACCAGGAGGAAAGUUUUGAAUGGGAGAAAACCCAGGAAGCCUUUUUUUCCACACUCUUUUCUCAUGAGAGGACCCUAUAAUAAGAAACAAAUAUUUCUAACUUAAAAAAAUCUAGGAUACUGGAGAAACAGCAGAAGGCCAAUGAGCCUGGUGUGGGGUAAGGGAAAAAAUGGUAGCAACUGAAGUCAGAGGUAAGGGCGUGGGGGGAAGAGGCAUCUGCAGUCUCCAUCUUCUCCCAUUUAAAAAGUGAAACAUGACUUUUCACCCAGGUGGUAUCAGCCAUCAGCCCAGUGGGUGAAAGGGUGCUUGCUGCUAAGGUACUGUCCUGAGAGAGAGGCAGAACUCUGGGAUAAUCACCCUUUAUUUGGAUAAUCACCCUUUGUUUAUUCAGGUAGUUUUGGUGAAGAUAAGGUAGAGAAAGGUCCUUAUUUCAUGGAGCUUAUCACAACCAGACACUUAGACUAGAAUGUGUGUGGAUUUUCUUCAUGACAAUGAGAAAUACUGAAAAAAAGAGAAAUAAAAAUAUUGUGGCAGGAUCACAGACCCUAAAUGCUCUUUGCCCUGAAUUAAGUGAGGAUACUUCCCAGAAUCCUGUUUAUCUGGAAACUUGGAAAUUCUAGUGAUCACCAACAGUGGUUUUAUUUUUCUUAGGACUCCCAACUUCCCUUUGAACUGAGAGUUGGUCACAGCACUCUGGCUGAUUAGAUUGAAUUAGAAAGCAGGAAAACUUAAAAAGUAAAAUAUCAACCACCAAAGAGAUCCUUAACUGGCCACUCCCCUGGACAAGCACUGCUACACCUUCCGUGACCACUUUUGUAUGGAGCCUCCUGGGAACUUCCCUGGCAGGCUGUCCCCGAGGUUCCUCCUCCCCACAGCUGACCACAUGCAGAUCUUGGAGAGGUCAUGACGUUGGCACUGCCUGGUGAGCGCUCCUCCUUCCCUGCCAUGUGGUUAUUAUGGAGGGCAACUUCUCAUUUUGAACACCGAACACCGUGGCAUGGCAAAGCUGGCUGACUGCCCCUGGGCAUACGGCCACAAGGCAACUCCCAGGGACAGCCUGAGGACGUCCUAGAAAUGGCUCUGAGUUUCCAUGCUGAGUCACCAUGGCUGAGGCAAAGUAUCCCUCGAUCUUUUCAUUCUUUGGAGACUGUAAUUUUCCUUUUCAAAACAACCCUUACCAUUCUUUAUAAUAUUUUAUCUAAAUAAAUGAAUGGUAGGGGAGAGAAGUGAAUAUGGAUCACAUGGAGUGACUUGGCUUAGGGAUGGUUGUGUUCAUGACAGACAUAAGUAAAAAUAGAUGAGCUAAGUCAACCACCAAUUGAGACCAUUUUCUUCAAAGGCAUAGGAAAAAAUUAUCACAAAAUUGAGUAGAUUCCAUCUCAAGAAACCACUUUCUUUGCUCAUCCAUAAGAAGUGAGUCCUCAUCCAUUCAAAUUUUAUCAUGAGAUUGCAGUUCAAUAUAAUAAUAAUGAAAACAUUUGUAAUAUUGUGAGAAUUACCAAAAUGUGGCAGAGACACAAAGUGAGCAAAUGCUGUUGGAAAAAUGGUGCCGACUGACUUGCUUGACCACAGGGCUGCCACAAAUCCGCAAUUUUAAGAAGUGUAAAAAGUGAAGCACGAUAAAACAAGUUAUUUACAGAGAGCGCGCACAGAGGGGCAGAGAGAGAAUCCCAAG